GCAGCACAGGAGAGCUUGCUCUCUGGGUGGCGAGUGGCGGACGGGUGAGGAAUGCAUCGGAAUCUACUCUUUCGUGGGGGAUAACGUAGGGAAACUUACGCUAAUACCGCAUACGACCUACGGGUGAAAGCCGGGGACCUUCGGGCCUGGCGCGAAAGAAUGAGCCGAUGCCCGAUUAGCUAGUUGGCGGGGUAAGAGCCCACCAAGGCGACGAUCGGUAGCUGGUCUGAGAGGAUGAUCAGCCACACUGGAACUGAGACACGGUCCAGACUCCUACGGGAGGCAGCAGUGGGGAAUAUUGGACAAUGGGCGCAAGCCUGAUCCAGCCAUACCGCGUGGGUGAAGAAGGCCUUCGGGUUGUAAAGCCCUUUUGUUGGGAAAGAAAAGCAGUCGGUUAAUACCCGAUUGUUCUGACGGUACCCAAAGAAUAAGCACCGGCUAACUUCGUGCCAGCAGCCGCGGUAAUACGAAGGGUGCAAGCGUUACUCGGAAUUACUGGGCGUAAAGCGUGCGUAGGUGGUUGUUUAAGUCUGUCGUGAAAGCCCUGGGCUCAACCUGGGAAUUGCGAUGGAAAUUGGGCGACUAGAGUGUGGCAGAGGGUAGUGGAAUUCCUGGUGUAGCAGUGAAAUGCGUAGAGAUCAGGAGGAACAUCCGUGGCGAAGGCGACUGCCUGGGCCAACACUGACACUGAGGCACGAAAGCGUGGGGAGCAAACAGGAUUAGAUACCCUGGUAGUCCGCGCCCUAAACGAUGCGAACUGGAUGUUGGGUGCAAUUUGGCACGCAGUAUCGAAGCUAACGCGUUAAGUUCGCCGCCUGGGGAGUACGGUCGCAAGACUGAAACUCAAGGAAUUGGCGGGGGCCCGCACAGCGGUGGAGUAUGUGGUUUAAUU
rnacentral:rRNA from 1 species